AGACACAAGGAGAGGCUUGGAGAGAGCAGACGCCUUCUGGAUUCAAGAAGACGAGGUGAGCUGAGGUACCUGGCUUUAGUGAAGACCCUGUGGGGGCUUCCUGGCUGCGGCUUCGACGUGCCUGACUCCACACGCCCCUAAGGCUCACCUGUUACUCGGCCUCCCAGAAAGAUGGAUAGGAGAAAUGACUACGGAUAUAGGGUGCCUCUAUUUCAGUUUGUUCAUUUCUUCUAUAAAAGUUUUACUUUGAGCUAGUCCCUGUGUUCAGAUAGGCUGUGGAAGAUGCUGAGAAGAAGGUGAUAUAGUUUCUGCUCCCUAGCAGUUCACAGAUUGUCCAAGCAUCUGAAUGGGGAUGAGAGAAGUGGCAGUAAUUACAGGCGGAUCCCAUGGGGCCGGAGGCCUGCACCACCGCGAGAUGUGGCCAUUUUACAAGAAAGGGCUAAUAAGUUGGUGAAAUACCUGUUGGUUAAGGACCAGACAAAGAUCCCCAUCAAACGCUCAGACAUGCUGAGGGAUGUCAUCCAAGAAUAUGAUGAAUAUUUCCCAGAAAUCAUUGAACGAGCAAGCUACACUCUGGAGAAGAUGUUUCGAGUCAAUCUGAAAGAAAUUGAUAAGCAAAGUAGCUUGUAUAUUCUCAUCAGCACUCAGGA
rnacentral:lncRNA from 10 species